rnacentral:rRNA from 1 species
CCCUUAGAUGUCCUGGGCCGCACGCGUGCUACACUGAUGGAUACAGCGAGUUUACCAGCUCCGUAAGGCAACUGGAAAUCAGCAAUAUUCAUCGUGCUGGGGAUAGAUCUUUGGAAUUUUUGAUCUUGAACGAGGAAUGCCUAGUAAGCGCAGGUCAUCAGCCUGCGUUGAUUAAGUCCCUGCCCUUUGUACACACCGCCCGUCGCUACUACCGAUUUCGAGUGGUCCGGUGAACCCUUUGGACCGAGAGUGCCUCGUGUGCUUUUGGAAAGUCGAGUAAACCACAUCACUUAGAGGAAGUAAAAGUCGUAACA